CAUUGCGGCUCGGGAUCCUGAUCUCGGGCCACACCUGACUGAGGGUCGGCUACGUCAUGAGAGCAAAUUGUACUGGGCGACGUUCGAGGUUUGUCAUCGAACGCGCCUCAAGUUCAAGAGAAAGACCACGAGGAGGCCGCCUCUCCGUGUCUCUCACGAGGAGCGGAGGGGAGACUUGAACGGCAGUCGUGCGAGUACGGGUCUUUGUGUUUUUUGACUCUGGGCCGGGCAAAGCUCUCGCGCUCCAGUGAUAAAAAGCAAGACUCCGAAAGCGCUCGUCGUUCGGGCCUCCGCAUGACUUAAAGAUUGACCGGCAUUUGGUCGCGACCUCAGAUCAGGUGAGACUACCCGCUAAAUUUAAGCAUAUUAAUAAGCGGAGGAAAAGAAACUAACAAGGAUUCCCCGAGUAGCGGCGAGCGAAAAGGGAAAAGCCCAGCACCGAAUCUCGCACCGUG
rnacentral:rRNA from 1 species